UACGUAGGGGGCAAGCGUUGUCCGGAAUCAUUGGGCGUAAAGAGCGUGUAGGCGGCCCGAUAAGUCCGCUGUGAAAGUCCAGGGCUCAACCCUGGAAUGCCGGUGGAUACUGUCGGGCUCGAAUCCGGAAGAGGUGAGUGGAAUUCCUGGUGUAGCGGUGAAAUGCGCAGAUAUCAGGAGGAACACCAACGGCGAAGGCAGCUCGCUGGGACGGUACUGACGCUAAGGCGCGAAAGCGUGGGGAGCGAACAGG
rnacentral:rRNA from 1 species